UAGAGUUUGAUCCUGGCUCAGAUUGAACGCUGGCGGCAGGCUUAACACAUGCAAGUCGAGCGGGGGAGAUUGCUUCGGUAAUUGACCUAGCGGCGGACGGGUGAGUAAUACUUAGGAAUCUGCCUAUUAAUGGGGGACAACAUCUCGAAAGGGAUGCUAAUACCGCAUACGCCCUACGGGGGAAAGCAGGGGAUCACUUGUGACCUUGCGUUAAUAGAUGAGCCUAAGUCGGAUUGGCUAGUUGGUGGGGUAAAGGCCUACCAAGGCGACGAUCUGUAGCGGGUCUGAGAGGAUGAUCCGCCACACUGGGACUGAGACACGGCCCAGACUCCUACGGGAGGCAGCAGUGGGGAAUAUUGGACAAUGGGGGGAACCCUGAUCCAGCCAUGCCGCGUGUGUGAAGAAGGCCUUAUGGUUGUAAAGCACUUUAAGCGAGGAGGAGGCUCUUUUGGUUAAUACCCAAGAUGAGUGGACGUUACUCGCAGAAUAAGCACCGGCUAACUCUGUGCCAGCAGCCGCGGUAAUACAGAGGGUGCGAGCGUUAAUCGGAUUUACUGGGCGUAAAGCGUGCGUAGGCGGCUUUUUAAGUCGGAUGUGAAAUCCCCGAGCUUAACUUGGGAAUUGCAUUCGAUACUGGGAAGCUAGAGUAUGGGAGAGGAUGGUAGAAUUCCAGGUGUAGCGGUGAAAUGCGUAGA
rnacentral:rRNA from 1 species